UACGGAGGGUGCAAGCGUUAUCCGGAUUCACUGGGUUUAAAGGGAGCGUAGGUGGCUUUGUAAGUCAGUGGUGAAAUAUUGCGGCUCAACCGCAAAACUGCCAUUGAUACUGCUUAGCUUGAAUCACGUCGAGGUGGAUGGAAUAAUACAUGUAGCGGUGAAAUGCUUAGACAUGUAUUAGAACACCGAUUGCGAAGGCAGUUCACUAGGCGUGUAUUGACACUGAGGCUCGAAAGCGUGGGGAUCAAACAGG
rnacentral:rRNA from 1 species